CACCCGCCUCGACCUCCCUAACUGCUGGGAUUACAGGCGUGAGCUACCCUGCCUGACCUGGAACUGCCUUCCCUGGCUGAGGUCUGCAUUGUACGGUUGCCUGCACCCAGCAAGCAGCCACAGAGCCCCUACUGUGCACCAGGAACUCAACUGCUGAGACUGCAAAGAUGAAUGUCACUCUGCCCCCAAGGAGCUCAUACUCUAGGGAACAGAGACACACACAGAUGGUUGCAAUCUGCAGUGGUCCUUGUAAUGCCAGACAGGGCAGGAUUGCUUGGAAGUCCUGGGCCAGGAUACCCAGUUUUAAAAAGUUUUCCUGGAGGUGGAACCACAAGGCUGACUCUGAAGGCAUGAGCUGGGGAUGGCCAACCAGACAGGGGGACAGCAGGAGCAACGGCUAACACUGGAGAUUAAAGUGCACAGCAGGCAAACAGAAAGAACUGCAGAAAAGAAAGAAAAAUCACAGAAAAGAGCUCAGUCUACUUGUGUUAGAUUGCUAGGGCUGCUGUUGCAAAGUGCCACAGACUGGGUGGCUGUGGC
rnacentral:lncRNA from 1 species